AGUAACACGUGGGUGAUCUGCCCUGCACUUCGGGAUAAGCUUGGGAAACUGGGUCUAAUACCGGAUAGGACUGCGCGAUGCAUGUCGUGUGGUGGAAAGCUUUUGCGGUGUGGGAUGGGCCCGCGGCCUAUCAGCUUGUUGGUGGGGUGAUGGCCUACCAAGGCGACGACGGGUAGCCGGCCUGAGAGGGUGUCCGGCCACACUGGGACUGAGAUACGGCCCAG
rnacentral:rRNA from 1 species